rnacentral:rRNA from 1 species
UGGACGAAAGUCUGACGGAGCAACGCCGCGUGAGCGAUGAAGGCCUUCGGGUCGUAAAGCUCUGUUGUUAGGGAAGAACAAGUAUCGUUCGAAUAGGGCGGUACCUUGACGGUACCUAACCAGAAAGCCACGGCUAACUACGUGCCAGCAGCCGCGGUAAUACGUAGGUGGCAAGCGUUAUCCGGAAUUAUUGGGCGUAAAGCGCGCGCAGGCGGUCCUUUAAGUCUGAUGUGAAAGCCCACGGCUCAACCGUGGAGGGUCAUUGGAAACUGGGGGACUUGAGUGCAGAAGAGGAGAGCGGAAUUCCACGUGUAGCGGUGAAAUGCGUAGAGAUGUGGAGGAACACCAGUGGCGAAGGCGGCUCUCUGGUCUGUAACUGACGCUGAGGCGCGAAAGCGUGGGGAGCGAACAGGAUUAGAUACCCUGGUAGUCCACGCCGUAAACGAUGAGUGCUAAGUGUUAGAGGGUUUCCGCCCUUUAGUGCUGCAGCAAACGCAUUAAGCACUCCGCCUGGGGAGUACGGUCGCAAGACUGAAACUCAAAGGAAUUGACGGGGGCCCGCACAAGCGGUGGAGCAUGUGGUUUAAUUCGAAGCAACCG